rnacentral:lncRNA from 1 species
CCAAAUCGAUCAAUCCCUACUAUCUACCAAUUCAUCUAUCACAAUUAGCACCAUCGCUAACUACUACUAACACAUCACAACCUCCACACAUUCUACGGUGGCCACCACCAUUGUCACUAGUAACGCCACCUCUACCAUCACUUCUGUCACUAUCAUCGCUAUAAUUUAUCUCUAUUAACAACCAUCUUCACCAUCACAACUAACAACAUC